ACGGUAGCUAAUACCGCAUAACGUCGCAAGACCAAAGAGGGGGACCUUCGGGCCUCUUGCCAUCGGAUGUGCCCAGAUGGGAUUAGCUAGUAGGUGGGGUAACGGCUCACCUAGGCGACGAUCCCUAGCUGGUCUGAGAGGAUGACCAGCCACACUGGAACUGAGACACGGUCCAGACUCCUACGGGAGGCAGCAGUGGGGAAUAUUGCACAAUGGGCGCAAGCCUGAUGCAGCCAUGCCGCGUGUAUGAAGAAGGCCUUCGGGUUGUAAAGUACUUUCAGCGGGGAGGAAGGGAGUAAAGUUAAUACCUUUGCUCAUUGACGUUACCCGCAGAAGAAGCACCGGCUAACUCCGUGCCAGCAGCCGCGGUAAUACGGAGGGUGCAAGCGUUAAUCGGAAUUACUGGGCGUAAAGCGCACGCAGGCGGUUUGUUAAGUCAGAUGUGAAACCCCCCGGGCUC
rnacentral:rRNA from 1 species